rnacentral:tRNA from 1 species
GCCCUGGUGGCAUUCUGGUUAAAGCACUUGGCUGCUAAACAAAAGGUCAGUGGUUCAAACCCACCCAGUGGCU